UGGGGAAUAUUGGACAAUGGGCGAAAGCCUGAUCCAGCCAUGCCGCGUGAGUGACGAAGGCCUUAGGGUUGUAAAGCUCUUUUGGCGGGGAAGAUAAUGACGGUACCCGCAGAAUAAGCUCCGGCUAACUUCGUGCCAGCAGCCGCGGUAAUACGAAGGGAGCUAGCGUUGUUCGGAAUCACUGGGCGUAAAGCGCACGUAGGCGGAUUGUUUAGUCAGGGGUGAAAUCCCGGGGCUCAACCUCGGAACUGCCUUUGAUACUGGCAAUCUCGAGUCCGAUAGAGGUGGGUGGAAUUCCUAGUGUAGAGGUGAAAUUCGUAGAUAUUAGGAAGAACACCGGUGGCGAAGGCGGCCCACUGGAUCGGUACUGACGCUGAGGUGCGAAAGCGUGGGGAGCAAACAGGAUUAGAUACCCAGGUAGUCCCUGAGCGGGCUGGCAAGGCGCAU
rnacentral:rRNA from 1 species